rnacentral:rRNA from 1 species
AGAGUUUCGAUCCUGGCUCAGAGCGAACGCUGCGGCAGGCUUAACACAUGCAAGUCGAGCGGGCAUAGCAAUAUGUCAGCGGCAGACGGGUGAGUAACGCGUGGGAACGUACCUUUUGGUUCGGAACAACACAGGGAAACUUGUGCUAAUACCGGAUAAGCCCUUACGGGGAAAGAUUUAUCGCCGAAAGAUCGGCCCGCGUCUGAUUAGCUAGUUGGUGAGGUAAUGGCUCACCAAGGCGACGAUCAGUAGCUGGUCUGAGAGGAUGAUCAGCCACAUUGGGACUGAGACACGGCCCAAACUCCUACGGGAGGCAGCAGUGGGGAAUAUUGGACAGUGGGCGCAAGCCUGAUCCAGCCAUGCCGCGUGAGUGAUGAAGGCCCUAGGGUUGUAAAGCUCUUUUGUGCGGGAAGAUAAUGACGGUACCGCAAGAAUAAGCCCCGGCUAACUUCGUG